rnacentral:lncRNA from 1 species
GUCAAUUCAUUAGUAUCUAGAGAAAGCAACGGGAGACCCCCACUCAUCUUCACUUAUUUGGUCAUCUUGAGAGAUUAUGUUUUGUAUUAGGUUACUUAUUGAUCCGAGUUCACCCAUGCCGAUUAAGUUGGUCAGACAUGAAAUAUGCUAACCCAAACUAAAUUAAUCAUUACAUCAGAUGUAUGUGACUAAUUAGAAG